rnacentral:lncRNA from 1 species
UUUAGAAGAUGGAAGACCUGGAUGCUUCAUACUUUGUAUAUAGAUGCCUCAUGUGACGAAGUUUCCGUCAGUCACAUGUCCAAUGUCCUUGACCUCAUUUUCAUGGUUCAGUGACCACUUGAAAAAAAGUUCAAAUUUUUUGUAAUAUUGAAUUCUCUCUUAUUAUAAGUAAUAGGAUAACUAUAUUUGAUAUGUGCGUACCUUGCAAGGUCCUCAUGUCUGUCAGACAG